UAGGAGUGAUGGAGUACAUUUAAGUUCUGACAAGUGGAAUGAAAUGGAAAGUGGUGUGCUCCGAAAGAAAAGAGAGACAGGAUUAUUCAGGAUUGCACAACUGGAUGAUUGUAUUAUUCGGGAUUGCACAACUGGAUGAUGGUAGGUUCUCUACUGAAACGUAAUGAAAACAUUCUGUUUUUAAAACAAAUUGUGAUGGGUGAUGAAAAGUGGAUAAUGUACAACAACGUGGAAUGGAAGAGAUUGUGGGGCAAGCGAAAUGAACCACCACCAACCACACCAAAUGCUGUCUUCAUCCAAAGAAGGUGAUGUUGUAUAUAUGGUGGGAUUGGAAGGGAGUCCUGUAUUAUGAGCUCCUUGCAGGAAACCAAACGAUUAAUUCCAACAAGUACUGCUCCCACUGAGACCAACUGAAAGCAGCACCCAACGAAAAGCAUCUAGAAUUAGUCAACAGAAUAUGUAUAAUCUUCCAUCAGGAUAAUGCAAGACCGCAUGUUUCUUUGAUGACCAGGCAAAAACUGUUACAGCUUGGGUGGGAAGUUCUGAUUCAUCUUCUGUAUUCACCAGACAUUGCACCUUCGGAUUUCCAUUUAUUUUGGCCUUUACAAAAUUCUCUUAAUGGAAAAAAUUUCAAUUCCCUGGAAGACUGUAAAAGGCACCUGGAACCGUUAUUUACUCAGAAAGAUAAAAAGUUUUGGGAAGAUGGAAUUAUGAAGUUGCCUGAAAAAUGGCAGAAGGUAGUGGAAC